CGAAAGAUUCCAGUCUGUGGAAACCAAUUUAAAGACGCCCCUCAUGAGGUACCACACUGUCCUUAAUCAUACGUUUGACUGGUAAGACUUGAUUUCAAUUUAAGUUGUAACGAUACUUAAAAAUGUCAUGGUAAAAGUACGAAACAUUCCAGUAUGUCAAACCAACUUAAAAACCUGCGUCAGGAAGGCCUCGAAUGACCUGCUAAUACUAUAUAGGGCUGCUUCUUUCAGAAGCCGGCACGCGUCCGAAUCGUGUGGUCAAAACAGGUAGGAGCAACAUCUGAAAUACUUAGCCUGGCGGAGAGUGAACUACGGGGAUUAUAACGCCAGUGGCGUAUCCUAGGGUUUGGGAACACUUGUAGGAAACGGGUUUUAAAUUCUUAAAACAAGAGCCGAUCUUGUUAACGCGUCGCUCAUCACGACUGGAACGAGUAACACAUCCGUGACUCGAAGUUUAAUUCGAACACGUCGUAACCUUCGACAGGUUCCCUUAGUGGCCCCUGGCUCGGUUUCGGAACGUCCCUGAAAGGAGAAGAGGGAGGGGUUAGGGCGGCUACGAGAGAAGUCAGGGACGAGACGGAGGAGGAGAAGAAGAGGGUCAGAUCAACAAUUCUUUCAGAACUUCCAACAAUUCUUUCGGGCUUCUCAGAACAGCACUAAUAAGGCCGCCUCUACUACUAAGUUUGUUCAACACUUCGACAACAACCUCUUUACAGUGACACUUCGAGUAGUAAAACAAGACAAAAUAGUUACAAACGACCCUGUACAGCUAGUAAAGGGAGGACGUACUCCAGCUUGAUUAGAAACAGGGCUUUGAGCGCGUGGAACGUGAGACGAAGAGUUGAAAGUUGACAGCUCGUUACUAAACACAAUGAGUACACAAAUUAAUACUUAUCAUGAUAAACGGCAUAUAUAGACGACAUUACAAUUUAGGACUCGUCACGUUGGAAAUGAGUCGU
rnacentral:rRNA from 1 species